rnacentral:rRNA from 1 species
ACCGAAGCUGCGGCAGCGACGCUUAUGCGUUGUUGGGUAGGGGAGCGUUCUGUAAGCCUGUGAAGGUGUACUGUGAGGUAUGCUGGAGGUAUCAGAAGUGCGAAUGCUGACAUAAGUAACGAUAAAGCGGGUGAAAAGCCCGCUCGCCGGAAGACCAAGGGUUCCUGUCCAACGUUAAUCGGGGCAGGGUGAGUCGACCCCUAAGGCGAGGCCGAAAGGCGUAGUCGAUGGGAAACAGGUUAAUAUUCCUGUACUUGGUGUUACUGCGAAGGGGGGACGGAGAAGGCUAUGUUGGCCGGGCGACGGUUGUCCCGGUUUAAGCGUGUAGGCUGGUUUUCCAGGCAAAUCCGGAAAA